GACAGAGGGUGCAAACGUUGUUCGGAAUUACUGGGCGUAAAGCGUGUGUAGGCGGCUUUGCAAGUCGGAUGUGAAAGCCCCGGGCUCAACCCGGGAAGUGCACUCGAUACUGCAGAGCUAGAGUGUCGGAGAGGUUGGUGGAAUUCUCGGUGUAGAGGUGAAAUUCGUAGAUAUCGAGAGGAACACCGGUGGCGAAGGCGGCCAACUGGACGAACACUGACGCUGAGACACGAAAGCGUGGGGAGCAAACAGG
rnacentral:rRNA from 1 species